UAGAAACUUAGGGAAAAGGUUGCAAGAGCACAGGAGAGAUAUUAGUAAAGGCAAUCUUAACACAGCACUUGCCAUGGAAGCCUACACUAGAGACAUAAAAGUACAUUGGGAUGAAGCGAAAAUAAUAAAGCCAGUGGGAAAAAAGUCCCAGGCCAUGUUAACAGAAGCCAUAGAAAUAAUUAAAGAAAAGAAAAAACGUAAAACCCUUAACGAGAACAUGGCAGUUGAAGUACCAUCCCCAUGGAUGUACCUACUUAAUAAACAGAAUGGUAAGAGCAAUGAAUGACAGCGCUUGGCAACAUUGACUGAGACACAGUGAACUAUAUUUAAAUGUAGGAAGACUCAAUUGUUUAUAAGUACUGACUAUUUAAGGAAACUUUCCUGCCG
rnacentral:lncRNA from 1 species